GGAUCAUUAGCGCGCAGGCCGGAGGCUGGCCCCCCACGAUAGGGCCAAACGUCCGUCAGGGGUGAGCAGAUGUGCGCCGGCCGUACCGCCCCAUUCUUGUCUACAUUACUCGGUUGCCUCGGCGGGCCGCGCUCUCCCAGGAGAGCCGUUCGGCGAGCCUCUCUUUAGUGGCUAAACGCUGGACCGCGCCCGCCGGAGGACAGACGCAAAAAAAUUCUUUCAGAAGAGCUGUCAGUCUGAGCGUUAGCAAGCAAAAAUCAGUUAAAACUUUCAACAACGGAUCUCUUGGUUCCGGCAUCGAUGAAGAACGCAGCGAAAUGCGAUAAGUAAUGUGAAUUGCAGAAUUCCGUGAAUCAUCGAAUCUUUGAACGCACAUUGCGCCCCCUGGCAUUCCGGGGGGCAUGCCUGUUCGAGCGUCAUUUCAGCCCCUCAAGCCCGGCUUGUGUGAUGGACGACCGUCCGGCGCCCCCGUCUUUGGGGGUGCGGGACGCGCCCGAAAAGCAGUGGCCAGGCCGCGAUUCCGGCUUCCUAGGCGAAUGGGCAACAAACCAGCGCCUCCAGGACCGGCCGCCCUGGCCUCAAAAUCUGUUUUAUACUUAUCAGG
rnacentral:misc_RNA from 1 species